rnacentral:rRNA from 1 species
GAUGAACGCUGACAGAAUGCUUAACACAUGCAAGUCUACUUGAACUUCGGUUUGGGUGCGGACGGGUGAGUAACACGUGGAUAACCUACCUAUAAGACUGGGAUAACUUCGGGAAACCGGAGCUAAUACCGGAUAAUAUAUUGAACCGCAUGGUUCAAUAGUGAAAGACGGUUUUGCUGUCACUUAUAGAUGGAUCCGCGCCGCAUUAGCUAGUUGGUAAGGUAACGGCUUACCAAGGCAACGAUGCGUAGCCGACCUGAGAGGGUGAUCGGCCACACUGGAACUGAGACACGGUCCAGACUCCUACGGGAGGCAGCAGUAGGGAAUCUUCCGCAAUGGGCGAAAGCCUGACGGAGCAACGCCGCGUGAGUGAUGAAGGUCUUCGGAUCGUAAAACUCUGUUAUUAGGGAAGAACAAAUGUGUAAGUAACUAUGCACGUCUUGACGGUACCUAAUCAGAAAGCCACGGCUAACUACGUG